CCUACGGGGGGCAGCAGUGGGGAAUAUUGCGCAAUGGGCGAAAGCCUGACGCAGCGACGCCGCGUGAGGGAUGAAGGUCUUCGGAUCGUAAACCUCUGUCAGCAGGGAAGAACGGUCACUGUGCUAAUCAGCAGUGAAUUGACGGUACCUGCAAAGGAAGCACCGGCUAACUCCGUGCCAGCAGCCGCGGUAAUACGGAGGAUGCGAGCGUUAUCCGGAUUUAUUGGGUUUAAAGGGUGCGUAGGCGGGACCUUAAGUCAGCGGUAAAAUUGCGGUGCUCAACGCCGUAGAGCCGUUGAAACUGGGGCUCUUGAGUGAGCGAGAAGUAUGCGGAAUGCGUGGUGUAGCGGUGAAAUGCAUAGAUAUCACGCAGAACCCCGAUUGCGAAGGCAGCAUACCGGCGCUCAACUGACGCUGAGGCACGAAAGUGCGGGUAUCGAACAGGAUUAGAUACCCCUGUAGUC
rnacentral:rRNA from 1 species